rnacentral:rRNA from 1 species
GACGAACGCUUUCUUCGUGCUUAACACAUGCAAGUCGAACGGAAAGGCCUCUUUCGGGGGGUACUCGAGUGGCGAACGGGUGAGUAACACGUGAGUAACCUGCCCUUGACUUUGGGAUAACUUCAGGAAACUGGGGCUAAUACCGGAUAGGAGCUCCUGCUGCAUGGUGGGGGUUGGAAAGUUUCGGCGGUUGGGGAUGGACUCGCGGCUUAUCAGCUUGUUGGUGGGGUAGUGGCUUACCAAGGCUUUGACGGGUAGCCGGCCUGAGAGGGUGACCGGCCACAUUGGGACUGAGAUACGGCCCAGACUCCUACGGGAGGCAGCAGUGGGGAAUAUUGCACAAUGGGUGGAAGCCUGAUGCAGCAACGCCGGGUGCGGGAUGACGGCCUUCGGGUUGUAAACCGCUUUCGCUCAUGACGAAGCUUUGUGUGACGGUAGUGGGUAAAGAAGCACCGGCUAACUACGUG